UACGGGGGGGGCAAGCGUUGUUCGGAAUUACUGGGCGUAAAGGGCUCGUAGGCGGCCCUCUCAGUCGGAUGUGAAAUCCCCAGGCUUAACCUGGGAACGGCAUCCGAUACUGGAGGGCUUGAAUUCGGGAGAGGGAUGCAGAAUUCCAGGUGUAGCGGUGAAAUGCGUAGAUAUCUGGAGGAACACCGGUGGCGAAGGCGGCAUCCUGGACCAACACUGACACUGAGGAGCGAAAGCCAGGGGAGCAAACGGG
rnacentral:rRNA from 2 species